CGUAGGUGGCAAGCGUUGUCCGGAUUUAUUGGGUUUAAAGGGUGCGUAGGCGGCCGCCUAAGUCAGUUGUGAAAUACCCCGGCUCAACCGGGGGGUGCGAUUGAUACUGGGCGGCUCGAGUAACAGCGAGGUUGGCGGAAUUGACGGUGUAGCGGUGAAAUGCAUAGAUAUCGUCAAGAACACCGAUAGCGAAGGCAGCCAACUAGGGGUUAACUGACGCUGAGGCACGAAAGUGCGGGGAUCAAACAGGAUUAGAUACCCUGGUAGUCCGCACUGUAAACGAUGAUUACUCGAUGUUGGCGAUAGACAGCCAGCGUCCAAGGGAAACCGAUAAGUAAUCCACCUGGGGAGUACGCCGGCAACGGUG
rnacentral:rRNA from 1 species